rnacentral:rRNA from 1 species
CCUACGGGUUGCACCAGUGGGGAAUAUUGGACAAUGGGCGAAAGCCUGAUCCAGCAAUGCCGCGUGUGUGAAGAAGGUCUCCGGAUUGUAAAGCCCUUUCGACGGGACGAUGAUGACGGUACCCGUAGAAGAAGCCCCGGCUAACUUCGUACCAGCAGCCGCGGUAAUACGAGGGGGGCUAGCGUUGCUCGGAAUGACUGGGCGUAAAGGGCGCGUAGGCGGUUUAUGCAGUCAGAUGUGAAAUCCCCGGGCUUAACCUGGGAACUGCAUUUGAGACGCAUAGACUAGAGGUCGAGAGAGGGUUGUGGAAUUCCCAGUGUAGAGGUGAAAUUCGUGGAUAUUGGGAAGAACACCGGUGGCGAAGGCGGCAACCUGGCUCGAUACUGACGCUGAGGCGCGAAAGCGUGGGGAGCAAACAGGAUUAGAUACCCGAGUAGUC